rnacentral:rRNA from 1 species
UACGGGGGGGGCAAGCGUUGUUCGGAAUUAUUGGGCGUAAAGGGCGCGUAGGUGGUUGAUUAAGUGAGAUGUAAAAUCCCUGGGCUUAACCUAGGAAGGUCAUUUCAUACUGGUUGACUAGAGUACAGGAGAGGGCAGUGGAAUUUCCGGUGUAGCGGUGAAAUGCGUAGAUAUCGGAAGGAACACCAGUGGCGAAGGCGUCUGCCUGGCCUGAUACUGACACUGAGGCGCGAAAGCGUGGGUAGCGAACAGG